GAUGAACGCUGGCGGCGUGCCUAACACAUGCAAGUCGAACGAACAGACGAGAAGCUUGCUCCUCUGACGGUAGCGGCGGACGGGCGGGUAACACGUAGAUCACAAACCUAUUAGACUGGGAUAACAACGUGAAGCCGGAUACGAUACUAGAGCAUAUAUUGUACCGCAUGGAGCAAUAGAUCAUGACGGUUUUGCCGACACUAAUAGCUGAGUCCGCGUCGGAUUAGCUAGUUGGUAAGGUAACGGCUUACCAAGGCAACGAUGCGUAGCUGAGCUGAGAGGUUGAUCGGCCACACUGGAACUGAGACACGGUCCAGACUCCUACGGGAGGCAGCAGUAGGGAAUCUUCCGCGAUGGGCGAAAGCCUGACGGAGCAAAGCCGCGUGGGUGAUGAAGGUCUUCGGAUUGUAAAACUCUUUUAUUAGGGAAGAACAAAUGUGUAAGUAACUAUGCCUGUUGUGACGGUACCUAAAGAGAAAGCCCCGGCUAACUUCGUG
rnacentral:rRNA from 1 species